rfam:Ovis aries breed Texel chromosome 14, whole genome shotgun sequence.
CCUGGUGGCUCAGAGGUUAAAGCGUCUGCCUCCAAUGCAGGAGACCCAGGUUCGAUCCCUGGGUCAGGA